rnacentral:rRNA from 1 species
UACGUAGGGGGCUAGCGUUGUCCGGAAUCAUUGGGCGUAAAGCGCGUGUAGGCGGCCCGGUAAGUCCGCUGUGAAAGUCGGGGGGCUCAACCCUCGAAUGCCGGUGGAUACUGUCGGGCUAGAGUGCGGGAGAGGCGAGUGGAAUUCCUGGUGUAGCGGUGAAAUGCGCAGAUAUCAGGAGGAACACCGAUUGCGAAGGCAGCUCGCUGGAACGUAACUGACGCUGAGACACGAAAGCGUGGGUAGCAAACAGG